AGCUGCUUGUUUUUGCACCUCCCUCGGGGGGUUUUAUUGGCAUAAUCCUUUAAGCAUGAAUUUAUAGUUUCAGGAGUCCGUGACAUUCAAGGAUGUGUCUGCAGAUUUCAUUUGGGAGGAGUGGCUUCGUCUAGAUUCUGCUCAGAGGAACCUGUAUGGGAAGGGGAUGCUGGAGAACUACAGGGACUUGGUGUCACUGGGUAAGGACCUGCCCUCGUACCUCAAAACCUCCCUGCUGACAGCCUUCCCCACCUCCUGACGCCUUGUACCACCGACCGGUAAAAUUCAGGAAUCUGCCUUGCAAUCCUGCUNNUGCAGAGCAUCGGCUUUCCAAACCAAAUGUGAGUUCUCAGCUGGAACUGGAGGAACUGAGCCGGUGACAAAAGACUUCCAGUGCGCCUCUCUCCAGAUUGUCUUUGAUGUUACUGCCAGACUGCGCGACCAUUUAGCCUUCUUAUCCCGUCCAGAACCAAGACGAGAAAGCGUCGAGGACACAGUGUUUCCCCCGCCACCAUGACUCACUCCUCAUAACCUUCCUGUGGGGAUAUCCAGCCAAAAUUGAACUUCUACACCCGGGCCCAACUUUCCUUUUAGAUGAUCGUUUUCCUUUUCUGUACUAAGGUUUUCAUGUAUACAGUUCAUCAUUAGGAAAACUGCCUAGAAAAUUUAAAGACAGAAAUUCUGUUCCUAGAGACAGCAUUAUCACUAAUAAACUUGUUAAUGUUGAAGCAGAGAUGGGAAUUAUUAGUAAUGUGGAAAGAAGUGAAUUUUUAGCCUCUAAUCAGUGGUCAUUAGACUUAACUCUAUUGGUGAUGUUCAGUUAUGAAGGAAACAGACUAGAACAUGUGUGAAGUAUUAGAAAACUAUCCUCAAAGAUUAUGUCUAUAAAAUAAGAUACUCUUAGGAAUUCUAUAAUAUUUUAAGAUCUCCAGGAAGCUACCCUUUACUACCCCUAAACAUAGAAACCUAUUAUUUGUGUUUUAUACAUGACUUUGUAUCAUUCUCAGAAAUGUACUGGAUGACUACCGUGUGUGUGUGUGUGUGUAAACAUAUGUACACAUCCACACAGGAUUUACAUACUGUUACAGAGUCCAUAUUUACCUUCACGCUAAUCUGAUCUCCCUCAUGUUUAGUACAGACGCAUAUCUUUGCCUCCAUUAGUAGGAAAAUUAACCUAAAAGCCCAUUAGAAAUGUAGGAGUAUCUAGAGCCCGUUGAUCCUCCCACGGGGCAGGCCCACCCGCCUCAGGACCUCUGCGCCGCUGGGACGCUCUCCCUUCAGCCGUCCUCAGCUCCCUCCUUAGCCUCUAAAGUCUUGGCUUCAGUGUCCUCUUUUCAUUGUGGCCUUUCCUGAAAACUCUAUGUAAAAUUACAAACCUUUCCCGUCACUCAUCAGAUUCCCUAUUUCCAUUGUGUUGCUUUUAUUUUUUCCAUAAGGUGUGCCACUUAAAGUAUUUUACUUAUUUAUUAUAUUGAUUGCCCUUCUUCCUCUCAUGAAAACAUA
rnacentral:lncRNA from 1 species